AUUGAACGCUGGCGGCAGGCCUAACACAUGCAAGUCGAGCGGUAGAGAGAAGCUUGCUUCUCUUGAGAGCGGCGGACGGGUGAGUAAUGCCUAGGAAUCUGCCUGGUAGUGGGGGAUAACGCUCGGAAACGGACGCUAAUACCGCAUACGUCCUACGGGAGAAAGCAGGGGACCUUCGGGCCUUGCGCUAUCAGAUGAGCCUAGGUCGGAUUAGCUAGUUGGUGAGGUAAUGGCUCACCAAGGCGACGAUCCGUAACUGGUCUGAGAGGAUGAUCAGUCACACUGGAACUGAGACACGGUCCAGA
rnacentral:rRNA from 1 species